UACGUAGGGUGCAAGCGUUAAUCGGAAUUACUGGGCGUAAAGCGUGCGCAGGCGGUUUUGUAAGUCUGACGUGAAAUCCCCGGGCUCAACCUGGGAAUUGCGUUGGAGACUGCAAGGCUGGAGUCUGGCAGAGGGGGGUAGAAUUCCACGUGUAGCAGUGAAAUGCGUAGAGAUGUGGAGGAAUACCGAUGGCGAAGGCAGCCCCCUGGGCUAACACUGACGCUCAUGCACGAAAGCGUGGGGAGCAGACAGG
rnacentral:rRNA from 1 species